rnacentral:rRNA from 1 species
GACGUAGGGCGCGAGCGUUGUCCGGAUUUAUUGGGCGUAAAGAGCUCGUAGGCGGCUUGUCGCGUCGACUGUGAAAUCCCGCGGCUCAACUGCGGGUCUGCAGUCGAUACGGGCAGGCUAGAGUUCGGUAGGGGAGACUGGAAUUUACGGUGUAGCGGUGAAAUGCGUAGAUAUCGUAAGGAAGACCAGUGGCGAAGGCGGGUCUCUGGACAGUUCCUGACGCUGAGGCACGAAGGCCAGGGGAGCAAACGGG